GUUUAUCCAGAAAAGCCAUACGCUCACCAAGAGGAAAAACGCUUGUGCAAAGGAAAAUAAGAGCGAGCAUCGCGGUUUUUCUACUUUCGGCCUCGCAUUCAGGGUUCUUUCGCUUAUGGAUUCGCAUCAGCAUCGUUAUCAUAUUCUUCCGAUUUCAACCGUCGGCUUCGCAUUUUGGAGCUUAAUCAAUCGUCAUCGCAUCGCGGGAAUUUGUCAAUAAUCAAUGUGGAUUCGCUUUCAUUCCUCUAUCGCAAUUCGACGAUUCAAUUCUUCUUUCACGAAAUCAAUCAACGACAGUUAUCAUAAUCUACGGCGCUGAAUCGCAACGGUAUCGCCGAAUCUAUCUUUGAACGCAACGAAGCUGGAAUAUAGAGAGCUUACCGAUUUCGAUGCGGCUUGCGAGAAUAUGUAUGAAUUCAAUGUGUUUCCUCUUCCAUUCGUGCUACUAGAAUGUGUGAACUACUUUCUACUUUUGAGGAUUCGGUUGUGCAUGAUUCUGAGCUUUGAAUGGAUUGUUGUGUCGAAUUCUGGCAGGACUCUUGAGCAAUGAAGACUAGAGAGUCGGCAUUGGUCACAGGGAGAAUUUGCAGGGAUUGGAAUUGAAGAAAGUAGAAGGUGAUAUGGUGAACUUUUGUGCAUAUGUAUAAACUGAGAGAAAGAAUAGAGAAUCGUUAAGAAAAAAUCUGAAGGGUGAAGUGUGAAGAUUUAUAUAGUGAGGUUGGAGUGUUGUUUGCUACUUGGUGAUCAACAAAAAAAAGUCCAUUCACAGUUGAUGUCAGAGAUGGUACCAAAGGCUUAAAGUUCUGACAAGAAUCUCUUAUCCUUAAACAAUAUGAUUGAUAUAUAGCUUGUCCAUGGAUGUGCGAUAUUUCCUUCUUGGUUUCACCUUCCCUAGCUAUAGCAUCAGCCAUAGCAGCUGCAUCCUUAGACAACACAGAUUCAAGUGGAAAAGAAUGGCAUUCACCUCUGAAAGAUUUUCCAUGAGAGAAAGGUGGAUUGAAGUUGCCUUUUUGCCCAAAUUGUAAACAUCAUAUACAUCUUCAGUUAUUGCUAAAACCUCUUCAAGCAUAGAACCACACUCAGAAGUUAAAGCAGUAUGCAUCCUUGAAACCUGAGAAAAAGCAGACAAAGCAACACUUGCCUCAUACGCACAAUCCCUCAUUGAAAUAACUGUGCUUUGUAAGUCACCAGAAGCUGAUUUUUCUUAAAGGGGGUCCAUGAGAGGUUCCUCGUGCAGGAGAUGUAUGUCCAAGAUGUCCUGGCGAACCAACUGAAAUCUGACUAUAUGAACUUGGUGGAGUAAAUUAAGAUGUUGACAAUUUGUUGUAACAUGAUUGAGUAGACUAGGUAGACAUGUAUUGGAAUUAAAUAUAUGAAAUGGUUAAUGGAUGCAUGUGAAUUGGUUUGUGAAGUGAAAUGUAAUAGAAAAUGGUUAUUGAUGCAAGUUGUAUUGAAUGGAAUUUGGGAUUGUUUUGGAUUGGAAUUGUAUUUAGAAUGUAGGAUAUUUUUGGAAUUGUAUUUAGAAUGUAGGAUAUUUUUGUAAUGUAAAGCUUAUGUAAUGAAUUUGAAAUGGUAUAUGUGAUUGAAUGUAAAUUGGAA